UGGUGGCCAUUGCGAGGAGCCUGAACCCGAUCCCAUCCCGAACUCGGCCGUUAAACUCCUCAGCGCCGAUGGUACUAUGUCUCAAGACCUGGGAGAGUAGGUCGCCGCCA
rnacentral:rRNA from 1 species